rnacentral:rRNA from 1 species
GGGUAAGGAGGCGAACCGGGGGAACUGAAACAUCUAAGUACCCCGAGGAAAAGAAAUCAACCGAGAUUCCGAAAGUAGCGGCGAGCGAAAUUGGACUAGCCCUUAAGCUUUACACGCGUUAGACGAACGGUCUGGAAAGUCCGACGAUACAGGGUGAUAGUCCCGUAGUUGACGACGUGUGUUCAGUGAAAUCGAGUAGGGCGGGACACGUGAUAUCCUGUCUGAAUAUGGGGGGACCAUCCUCCAAGGCUAAAUACUACUGACUGACCGAUAGUGAACCAGUACCGUGAGGGAAAGGCGAAAAGAACCCCUGUGAGGGGAGUGAAAUAGAACCUGAAACCGUGUACGU